AGACGUCUACAUUAGACUACCCCCGUAGUCCCAGCCGUAAACUAUGCGCGUUAGGUGUAUCGGUGACCACGAGUUACCGAGGUGCCGAAGGGAAACCGUGAAACGUGCCGCCUGGGAAGUACGGUCGCAAGGCUAGAAACUUAAAGGAAUUGGCGGGGAGCACCACAACGGGUGGAGCCUGCGGUUUAAUUGGACUCAACGCCGGGAAGCUCACCGGAUAAGACAGCGGAAUGAUUGCCGGGCUGAAGACUCUGCAUGACUAGCUG
rnacentral:rRNA from 1 species